ensembl:lncRNA
AUUUUUACCAUAAGUACAAGCAUCUGUAAGCUACUCUUAGGCAUCAUCGUUGUAAAUUAAUUCCCCAUGGGAACAGUUUGUGGGAGGUCUUUUCUAUUUUCUCAUUAUGAAAUAUCCAUUGUGAAAUAUUACCUUUGUUUAAUUAUGAAUUAUGAAUUAUUUUAAAUAAUUUUUCUCCGCAAUGGAUCCUUCAUGAUAUGUAUCACUCUGAUCUUUCCUCUUAACAGCUGCAUGCCUGACCCUGACUUGGCUCAAUUCUCAUCUAUUUUUAUCUCUCUGGCAGACAAACAUGCCCCCCUUAAAUUAAGCGUAAGAAAUAGAGUAAGAGUAAGAAAUAGAAGAAAUCCUUGGUUCUUUGUACAACUUUCAGAUCUUGUAAUUAUUAGAAAUCAGGCCUGGGCCAAAGCUAGAAGAACUGACUUGGUAGCUGAAUGGCAGCUUUUCAGGCAAUUGAGAAAUAGAUGUACCUUCUCAAUUAAGAAAGCUAAAUCAAGCUACUUCCUUAGUUCUAUCUCAGACUCUGCUGGUGAUCCGUCUACAUUUUGGGAAACAUGUAAUGCUCUGAAGUGUCUAAAUUCCUCUUCCUCCCUGGCUAAGCAAGUUGUGUCAGACUACGCAUGAUCACUUUCAACAACUUUUUACUUGUGAUGUGCAAGAUGCCUUGCUUAAGAUUGAUGUAAAAAAAAAUCCCCUGAAGCUUUACUUGAUCAUUUGUUUUGCUUGGAUUGUGGAAUCCGUAGGCAGGUUUAUUCAACAAAAGCAAUGUUGCAAAAACAAUCAUUGCGAUGUGUGUAUGUGUGUCUAAAGAACUACGAACAUUUUAUACAUUCGACAGGGGUGGAUUUGUAUUUUAUCCUACUUUCCUCAUUACAACAAAUGAUGACGUAACAGUGUUUUUUGAAUAAAUGAUGGUGAUAAGUUGCCAUGGAAAACAAAUUAUUUUUCCUUAAUAAAUACAUAGCCUAAUAUGUAAACAAUGACAGUGAGCAAUUGACAGUGGGCAACAUAAUCGGACAGUAAGUUGACAAUGUCUUAUUAAUAGGCAUAAAUACAUUGCAUUUCUAUGGUUGCAGUCCUCAAAGAUUGAAUUGCAUUGAAUCAAAUGAAUCAGAUCCAAUGAUUUACUGCCCGUAGGGUGGGGUGCCGUUAUUUUAAUUCUAAAUACCUACUGCUUGCAAAAAAAAAAAAAAAAAAAAAAAAAAUGAAUCAUGUUUCUUUGAAGGACAAGGAAUUUCCUGACUUUGAAGAAUGGCUGAAUUGUUUCGCCUUGCUUUUCUGGUUGACUGGAGGUAAGUUUCACAAUCCAAUUAUUUCAGAUCUACAUGAGUGAAAAUUUCACCAUGGCACGUGAGAAUUAUUAGAAUAUGGCAAAUAUUAGUCAAUCAUUUACAUUUACAUACAUACAUACAUACAU